rnacentral:lncRNA from 1 species
GCCCCUUCCCCGCCCUGCCCCGAGCCCGGCCUGAGGGAAAGAUCCUCCGCAUCCCGAGCGCAGAGAUAAGAGGGAAUACUGCAGGCUGACACCUUGAAGAACCAGGCACAGUAUAAAUAGAGAAUGAAAGCCCUUCUCUUCCCCAAGUGCUCACUGUCCAAAUAGCCAAGACAAAGAACAGAACGCUAUGGCUCCUGGAGUCCUGGCCAGCUCCCAGCUCAGGUGAGAGGCUCCCUGGUUUCCUUCUGCCCAGGGCCUGAGAGAUCUGCCACAGGGAGUGAUGGUCCCUGCCAGUCUGAAACACCCCCACCUGUUGCAUCACACCCUAAACUGCACUCUGUGUUCCCUCUGGUGAGGAAUAUCUUAUUCCCAUGCUUUUGGAUAAAACCCAGCACAAACAAACCAUAACUGAUGGUAGAUAUGACAAAUAAUGAUGAUCAUGGCAAUAGUGGCAUCGCUGCUGCUCCAGCGUUUCUUCUGAUUUCUUCCUUUAUUUAGAUAAAUGUGAAGAGAAGAGCACAGAGGUUUGGCCAUAGGGCAGAUCAAGAGGAAUUGAAGGGAUGUAUUAUGAAGGACUGUAUCACCAGUCCUCUGACAGCUAGAGUGUAACAGCCUGGGCAGUCUGGGCUCACCUGCUCAGGAGCCCACUCUGUGCUUUGUCUUGCUGCCUGCCAGUCCCAAGUCUGUGGACUUGUCAUGGCUGAGCUUUUGGGGUGCAGUUCCCAGGACAUUGUCCUGAUCCCUUAUAGUUAUUGCCCAUGUUAAUGUCAUUAACCACAGGGCCAUAUGUGCCACAGGAGGUCCCUGGGCACUGUGACAGGGUUGUCACAUCAUGAUUGAGGCUUGGCUGCCAUCCUGCCCGAAGUGCAAAAUGAGUGAAAAUUUCAGAUGAAUGUGAUGUGAUAAUGCUGUAACAGGUGUGGAUUGUGACUCCUAUGGUUACAGACCGGCUUCAGAAGAGCAAGGCUGCAGCCUCUCCUGCUCCCUCCCUGCCUGCCUUUAGAUGGCAUUAACCAUCUGCUAAAGCCCGUGCCUGGCAGUGCUGGUGACUGACAGCUCUUUCACUGGUGCUGCUGCAUCCUGGGAAAAGGUUUUAUUCCUCUUGCCUGCACCUUUGGCUGUAGAAAUGAACUCUCUGAGCACUCCCAUUAGACUGAAGGAGAGGAUCAUCUGAGACCUGGGCCUCUUUGCAGCACAGGAUCAGAACAGCAAGAGAAGUAGAUGGCAGAGUUUGAUUGAGUCCAGGAUGUGGUCGCCUGACAGAGGUGUAUAUUUGCCUCUAUUCUUACUCAAAGGUCAUUAAAUUAAGAUUUCAUGAGACCCCCACACCGCUAUAAAUGUUGCUGAGCUCAUUUCCCGCACUGGGCAGUGAUUUAUCUCACAUCCUUGAUAAAAUGACUAAGCUAAAAAUGUCACCCACUGUCACUGAGCUGUAAGUAAGGUAGAAGGAACUGGAGACUGACACAAUGGAUUUUCAUAGCAAGGGAAGCAUUAAUAAAUGGUUUCUUUCUGAUGUUCUCA